UACGUAGGUGGCAAGCGUUGUCCGGAAUUAUUGGGCGUAAAGCGCGCGCAGGCGGUUAAUUAAGUUGGGUGUUUAAGCCCGGGGCUCAACCCCGGUUCGCAUCCAAAACUGGUUGACUUGAGUGUAGGAGAGGAAAGUGGAAUUCCACGUGUAGCGGUGAAAUGCGUAGAGAUGUGGAGGAACACCAGUGGCGAAGGCGACUUUCUGGCCUAUAACUGACGCUGAGGCGCGAAAGCGUGGGGAGCAAACAGG
rnacentral:rRNA from 1 species